rnacentral:rRNA from 1 species
AUUGAACGCUGGCGGCAGGCCUAAUACAUGCAAGUCGAGCGGAGCGGCGGACGGGCGAGUAAUGCCUAGGAAUCUGCCUGGUAGUGGGGGAUAACGUCAGGAAACGGGCGCUAAUCUCGCAUACUUUCAGAUGAGCCUAGGUCGGAUUAGCUAGUUGGUGGGGUAAAGGCCUACCAAGGCGACGAUCCGGAACUGGGCUGAGGGGAUGAUCAGUCGCACUGGAACUGAGUGACGGUCCAACCGCCUACGGGCGGACGCAGUGGGGAAUAUUGGACAAUGGGCGAAAGCCUGAACCAGCCAUGCCGCGUGUGUGAAGAAGGUAUUCGGAUUGUAGAGCACUAUAAGUUGGGAGGCGUUACCUACAGAAUAAGCACCGGCUAACUUCGUGCCAGCAGCCGCGGUAAUUC